rnacentral:pre_miRNA from 1 species
UAUAUACUUCCUCCGUUUGAAAAUACUUGUCAAAAAAAUAGAUGUAUCUAGAUGUAUUUUAGUUCAAGAUACAUUCAUACUUAUUGGUUUCUCCCACAAAAAUUCCGAACGGAGGUAGUAGAUG